ACGAACGCUGGCGGCGUGCUUAACCCAUGCACGUCGAACGGAAAGGCCCUGCUUUUGUGGGGUGCUCGAGUGGCGAACGGGUGAGUAACACGUGAGUAACCUGCCCUUGACUUUGGGAUAACUUCAGGAAACUGGGGCUAAUACCGGAUAGGAGCUCCUGCUGCAUGGUGGGGGUUGGAAAGUUUCGGCGGUUGGGGAUGGACUCGCGACUUAUCAGCUUGUUGGUGGGGUAGUGGCUUACCAAGGCUUUGACGGGUAGCCGGCCUGAGAGGGUGACCGGCCACAUUGGGACUGAGAUACGGCCCAGACUCCUACGGGAGGCAGCAGUGGGGAAUAUUGCACAAUGGGCGGAAGCCUGAUGCAGCAACGCCGCGUGCGGGAUGACGGCCUUCGGGUUGUAAACCGCUUUCGCCUGUGACGAAGCGUGAGUGACGGUAAUGGGUAAAGAAGCACCGGCUAACUACGUG
rnacentral:rRNA from 1 species